rnacentral:rRNA from 1 species
GAUGAACGCUGGCGGUGUGCCUAAUACAUGCAAGUCGAGCGAACGGACGAGAAGCUUGCUUCUCUGAUGUUAGCGGCGGACGGGUGUGUAACACGUGGAUAACCUACCUAUCAGACUGGGAUAACUUCGGGAAACCGGCGCUAACACCGGAUAAUAUUUUGAACCGCAUGGUUCAAAAGUGAAAGACGGUCUUGCUGUCACUUAUAGAUGGAUCCGGGCUGCUUUAGCUAGUUGGUAAGGUCACGGCUUACCAAGGCAACUAUGCAUAGCCGACCGGAGAGGCGGAUAGGCCGCCCUGGAGCGGAGACACGGUCCAGACUCCUACGGGAGGCAGCAGUAGGGAAUCUUACGCAAUGGGCGAAAGCCUGACGGAGCAACGCCGCGUGAGUGAUGAAGGUCUUCGGAGCGUAAAACUCUGUUAUUAGGGAAGAACAUAUGUGUAAGUAACUGUGCCCAUCUUGACGGUACCUAAUCAGAAAGCCACGGCUAACUACGUG